rnacentral:lncRNA from 1 species
ACUUAGGCAUCGAAGAAUCUCUUAUAGAAAAAUCUUUGACAAUUGAACUUUCUUUGCUUGUAGUGUUUUCAGCUAAUUUGGAAGUUAGAGCGAAUAUCUAAUCAUUUUUAAUCACAUCGAGAUCUCCGACCAACUAUUCAAAUCCUUUAAUUAUCUCCUUCCAAGUUUCUAACUUGUUAGCCCGAGUCAAGUCAAUCAUCAGCGA